CCGACCUUAGCUUAGUUGGUAGAUCGGGAGACUGUGGAAAAGUAGAACCACCUCUAGGUCCCUGGUUUGAAUCCGGCUGGUCGGA